UGAAGUUAGAAAGAGGAUGGCCGGAUAGAUCAGUAAAUAAAGCAUGAUUAUUAAACACUGUGUGAACUAUAUGGUUUUGUACCCAAAUUGAAGAGUACUUUUAGAAGAAUUUGGAGAAACAGUUCACGACAUCAUGAAAAUGUCAUUUUGCUUCUUGAGCCAAGAAAUACAGCCAUGUUCCUCUUUCUGAGAGAAUGUUUCGUGGGCCACAAGGCGCUGCAACAUCAGGGAGGCCUGGAAUGGAGUGAGCUGGACCUGGUUUAAACCAACAAUGAUUAAACAGACAAUAACAGGCCCUUGCAGGCACAGAUAAGAAUUCCUUUGUCUGAGACACAUAAGAGACAGGCUUGGCUGCAGUCAGUACUGGGGGAGACAGGCAAAGACAUUCAGACGGAGAGCUGGAAGAGGACAGGCCUGCCAGUGAGUGGACACCAUCCCUAGAGCUGCAUCACAGAGAGAGGCAUUCCACUGCAGAAAUGAGGACGGCCAUCUUCCUCGCACUCGUCUCAUGGGCGGUCGCUGGGAGAAUGCACCAUGCGGAAGAGGGAGGCUCGUUCAGGUUCUCUGGAGCGCAGGGAUCCACUUCGACUGCCACGCGUAUUGUCUGGACACGCAACGGCCAGGUCUGUGUAGAGUAUCGUCCAGGGGAGCGAGUGGGGGCGUCCCCCUGCGACCCUCGUGUCUCCAGCUUCAGUCCUGCUGACUUCUCCUUCACUCUGACGGCCCUGACCACAGGCGACAGCGGCACCUACUGCCUGCGUCUCGGCUCCCAGCACGCACUGUGCCAGAACCU